UACAGAGGUCCCAAGCGUUGUUCGGAUUCACUGGGCGUAAAGGGUGCGUAGGUGGCGAGGUAAGUCGGAUGUGAAAGCUCGGAGCUCAACUCCGAAAUGGCAUUGGAAACUACCUUGCUCGAGGGUUGGAGGGGGGACUGGAAUUCUCGGUGUAGCAGUGAAAUGCGUAGAUAUCGAGAGGAACACCAGUGGCGAAGGCGAGUCCCUGGACAACUCCUGACACUGAGGCACGAAAGCUAGGGGAGCGAACGGG
rnacentral:rRNA from 1 species